rnacentral:rRNA from 1 species
AUUGAACGCUGGCGGCAGGCCUAACACAUGCAAGUCGAACGGUAACAGGAAGAAGCUUGCUUCUUUGCUGACGAGUGGAGGACGGGUGAGUAAUGUCUGGGAAACUGCCUGAUGGAGGGGGAUAACUACUGGAAACGGUAGCUAAUACCGCAUACCGUCGCAAGACCAAAGAGGGGGACCUUCGGGCCUCUUGCCAUCGGAUGUGCCCAGAUGGGAUUAGCUUGUAGGUGGGGUAACGGCACACCUAGGCGACGAUCCCUAGCUGGACUGAGAGGAUGACCAGCCACACUGGAACUGAGACACGGUCCAGACUCCUACGGGAGGCAGCAGUGGGGAAUAUUGCACAAUGGGCGCAAGCCUGAUGCAGCCAUGCCGCGUGUAUGAAGAAGGCCUUCGGGUUGUAAAGUACGUUCAGCGGGGAGGAAGGGAGUAAAGUUAAUACCUUCGCUCAUUGACGUUACCCUCAGAAGAAGCACCGGCUAACUCCGUG